AGCCUGAUGCAGCGACGCCGCGUGAGGGAUGACGGCCUUCGGGUUGUAAACCUCUUUCACCAGGGACGAAGCGUGAGUGACGGUACCUGGAGAAGAAGCACCGGCCAACUACGUGCCAGCAGCCGCGGUAAUACGUAGGGUGCGAGCGUUGUCCGGAAUUACUGGGCGUAAAGAGCUCGUAGGCGGUUUGUCGCGUCGUCUGUGAAAUUCUGCAACUCAAUUGUAGGCGUGCAGGCGAUACGGGCAGACUUGAGUACUACAGGGGAGACUGGAAUUCCUGGUGUAGCGGUGAAAUGCGCAGAUAUCAGGAGGAACACCGGUGGCGAAGGCGGGUCUCUGGGUAGUAACUGACGCUGAGGAGCGAAAGCGUGGGUAGCGAACAGGAUUAGAUACCCUGGUAGUCCACGCCGUAAACGGUGGGUACUAGGUGUGGGUUCCUUUUCACGGGAUCCGUGCCGUAGCUAACGCAUUAAGUACCCCGCCUGGGGAGUACGGCCGCAAGGCUAAAACUCAAA
rnacentral:rRNA from 1 species